rnacentral:rRNA from 1 species
AGCUCCAAUAGCGUAUAUUAAAGUUGUUGCAGUUAAAAAGCUCGUAGUUGGAUUUCUGUCAAGAACAAGCGGUCCGCUCCAUUGGAGUGUGUACUUGCAUCGUUUUUGACUUUCUUCUGAACCUUAUGCUGUUUUCCCUUCAUUGGGUAAAGCAGCUGGGCAGAACCUUUACUUUGAGAAAAUUAGAGUGUUUCAAGCAGGCUAGCGCCUUGAAUACUGCAGCAUGGAAUAAUAAGAUAGGAUUUCAGUUCUAUUUUAUUGGUUCUAAGGACUGAAAUAAUGAUUAAUAGGGACAGUUGGGGGCAUUCGUAUUUAACUGUCAGAGGUGAAAUUCUUAGAUUUGUUAAAGACGAACUACUGCGAAAGCAUUUGCCAAGAAUGUUUUCA